CUGAUUUUCUGCUACUCCCAAAAUACAGUCACAACAUAUUUACCUGGUCUUUGGGAAAAACGUCUUUAAAUGUACACCCUUGCUUCAUAUCUCACGCCUUUUGCACCUCAGCUUAACGGUUACUUCCCUGACAGCUUUUGCUCUAGAGAUUGUUUGUCUAGUCCUCCUCAUCCUUUUCAUUCUAUAUGCACACUUCCUUGCUUCAUUUCUUCCUGUUCUUGUUUGUUGUUUCUUUAACAGAUGUUAUUCCUUCCUUCAUUUCUUUUAGUAUCCUAAAUAUUCUCAUUUCUAAACUCCUACUCACACCUAUCUAUAUCAUUUUAAAAGUUCCUAAAUGAUUUCAUCUCCAAAUGAUUGCUUUUCUUUCCCUUUUUAUUGGCAGACUCUUUUUCAUUUGUCUUCAGAUUUUGGCUUGCAAGCUCAUGUUAAGUCGAAGUUUCUCUCUGCAUCAGAGCCUAUGCUUUUAUAUUUACCUCCAAAAAAACAUCCGGGGCCAUUUCCUAGAGUCUUACAUUAGUGUUAGGUAAAAGACCAGGACACCAAAAGAGUGUCUAACAGGCGUUUUAAUGGCAAAGUGCUCCGGGGAGGGGUUCCUGGACCCGAAGGAGGCAGGUCGAGGGAGUCCGUGCCCGACAGUGUUGGGGGUGGUUUUUAUACAUUUGUUGGGAGGGAUGGUCAGGCUAGAUGGACGGGGAUUCGGAUAGGUAGCAAGGCCGAGGUGUUUCGGGCUGACAGGUCCUUCUACACGGCUGGGGUGGGGCGGCUUUAGCUGGUGAAGUGUGCUGUCAUUGGUCCCCAGGAUCUGGGAGGCUCCUUCCUUUAGGGACUUCCCCGCCGGCGGGAGGGAAAGGAGGGGCGCCCCAUCAUGGUUCCCGGGGUCUGGCCUUACAGUUAGUAGCUUUGGCACUGCGGUUGCUCACCCAGAAUGUGAGGAUGAGGUACAUUCCCACUGAGGUACAUGUGGAAUGUGGUACAUUCCCACUGAGGUACAUGUGGAAUGAGGUGCAUUCCCACUGAGGUACAUGUGGAAUGAGGUACAUUCCCAUUGUUCCACAAGCUACAUGUUCCUUGUUGGCUCUGCCUCUCGCUUCUGAAUUGUAUUUUUGCAUCGUGAAGGUAAUUUUUCAUCAUGAAGAUAGUUUGUUAAGUGUGAUUACAUGUUUUAAUUUUUAAAUUGCAUUUUUAAAAUCUAUCCUGCAUUAAUUCAGAGUAGAGAGAGUAGAGUAAUGGAGUGGGGUAUCAAACAUGACGUUGCUGUGUUAUUUUUUUCCUUAAAUUCAUUCAAUUAAUAUUUUUAUUAGGUAUUAGCUAUGAGGAAAGAUCAGCUUCUAGGCACUGAAUUAAACAAGUUCCUUGUUCUUAGAAAAUUAAUUUUUGGAGGAUAAAUAUAAAAAGCAAAUUCAAAUAAGUAUUAGGAAUUAAAAAUAAAACAGGAAAUAGAGGGUGAGAAUUGGGGGCUAUUUUUAGCAUGUUGGUCAGGAGAGAACUCUGUAACAGUGAAUAUUGAAGUAGAGAUAAUAGAGUAGUAAGGCAGGAGGUAUCUGAAAAAACGUAUCUGAGAAGGAGAAAUCAACAAAUGCAAAGGCCCUUUUAAGGAACAGCAAAGGGUUAGGUUAGUUUCCUUAUUAUUCUAAACAAUCAUUUCUAUUAAUGUAGCUUAACAGCUUUUUUCUCAAAAUUUCAUUCAAAACUGAAUGGUUAACUAAACUUCCCAAAGUGUACUUAAGUCGUGCUGUGUUAAAUUAUUAUCCUGUGCUUAAACAAAUUACUUUUUGAUUCUAAGAGCUCCAGAUUUCUUUUGAUUCCUGUCAUUGCUUUAAUCUCUGUAAUAUGCCAGGCUCUAUUCUGACAUGAUUCUGUUUAUGUUUCUUUAUUUUUUGUGUAUAUAUUGUUGUUUAGUCACUAAGUCAUGUCCAACUCUUUGCAACCCCAUGACUGCAGCAUGCCAGGCUUCCCUGUCCUUCACUAUCUCCCAGAGUUUACUCAAAUUCACAUCCAUUUUGAGUCAGUGAUGCAAUCCAACCAUCUCAUUCUCUGUCGUCCCCUUCUCCUCCUGCCCUCAGUCUUUCCCAGCAUCAGGAUCUUUUCCAGUGAGUUGACUCUUCACAUCUGAUGUACAAAAUGUUGGACCUUCAGCUUAAGCAUCAGUCCUUCCAGUGAAUAUUCAGGGUUGAUUUCUUUUAGGAUUGACUGGUUUGAUCUCCUUAAGUCUUCUCUAGCAUCAGAGUUUAAAAGCAUCGCUUCUUUGUCACUCAGCCUUCUUUAUGUGUGUGUGUGUGUAAUAUAUCAUAUCUUUAGUGAAAUGCAGUUUACAAAGUAUCACAUAUUUAAAACGUUUUGCAAUAUAAGUAUAAACACAUGGUACUGAUGUUAUUAGGUAAAAUGUAAAGUCUAUUCUAUUAUUUCAUUAUGAAAUCCAAUAGUAGAUAACAUAUUUUCAACUGCUUUCAGAUUUGUUUCAACAUUUUACAGGUCUUUCUUAAGGAGUUCUCUAUCUGAUGAACUCGAAUAUAAAAAUAAUAUAGUUAUAUCCAAGACGCACAGCAGGGAGAUGAGCAAUGUGGAUUUUGGAGACUGACUGCCAGGAUUUGAAUUUAUCACUCUCUUGGCAGAGAGAACAUAAUUUCUUGAUCUGUAAGAUACAGAUAAUAACAGUGCAAAUCUGAUAGAGCUAUUAUAAAGAUUAGAUAAACUAAUGAUCAUAACCUUUAAAAAAUCAUGACAUAGAAAGUACAGUAACAUAUUUGUUAAAAUCUAAAAUCAGUUCAGUAUCUGACCCAGUAUUACAAGUGACAAGGCUUUAUAUUAAAUUUAGGAAGUCUAUAUAGCUCAGAGGUUAAAGCAUCUGCCUGCAAUGUGGGAGACCCAGGUUCAAUCCCAGGGAAGAUCCCCUGGAGAAGGAAAUGGCACCCCACUGCAGUACUCUUGCCUGGAGAAUCCCAUGGAUGGAGGAGCCUGGUGGGCUACAGUCCACGGGGUCACAAAGAGUCAGACACGACUGAGUGACUUCACUUUCACUUUCACUUUCAUAGUAUUUGUAAACAUGUUUCCACUUUUUAAUUUUUUAUUGUUUGUUUUAGUUGUGAGUAUAAUGGUAAACUUAGAAUUAUGAUACAAAUGUGCAGUGAUAGCCCACGCUAUUUGAAUAAACAUAAAGUAGUUUAUGGGGUGAUUACCAUUGGGUUUCAUUGUCUAUCACAUGAUUACAGGUUGGUGGCAGUUUCUCUAGAAUCAACCCAAAGAAUUAGUUAGUUAAUUUUAUUAUGAUGAAUGAACUUGUGUGUAAGAAAAAUCUUUAAAUUUGUUACCUGUAAAUACAUGCUCUUUUUAGUAAAGUCAUACACAGUGAUUGCACCUAAAUUUGGUGCCUUGACUGAAGUACUUACUUGUAAAGUAAAUAAUUUUCACUUAUCUUUUCUUAGAAUACAUAUCAGUAACACUGACAUCAAAAGGUUGAGCUUAUUGAGAAAGAGAAAGAGUUGAGCCUUUGAGAAAGAGUAGUGGUCUAUAGGUUACUAUAAUGAAGCUAUAAUACUGGUAAUAACCAUGGUUAUAAUAGUGAUUGUCUGAGUGAUGUUAACCAUCUUAAAUCUCCCAGCUUUGAUCUCUUCAGCAUUACAAAGAAAGAGUUGGUCCAUUUGAAUUCCAAAAUUCCUUCCACCUUGGAAUAGGGCGCAUCUAGGAAAGAAUGAGAAGAUUCGACAUACCAAUUUAGCUAUGUUAUAAAAUAACAGUGAACUAUUCCAUAUCUAAAAUUUUGAAUACAGACCAAAUAAUAAAUUAAUAAGUCAUGAUAAAUACUACUAAAGCCUCUUAAAUUCUUUAAUGAUCAUACAGUUUUAAUGAUAGCAAAUAUGUUCUGAAAUUAAUUCUAGAACAAUGGAAUAUAUUAGGUUAGAAGAAAACAAAAGAUAGAUUUAAUAUCUGAUAUCUAGACUUUAGCCUAAGAGACUUUUAAUUUAUUUUAAUAGGCUUUUUUAAGAGAAACCUUAGGUCCACAGUGCAAUUAAGCAGAAGGUACAGGGAUUUCCUAUAUAUUUCCCUACUCUACACAUGCAGAGCCCUCCCCCUUAUCAAUAUCAUUUACCAGAAUGGUAUCUUUUACCAAAGAUGAACCUAUGGUGACACAGCAUAGUUACCCAAAGUCUAUAGUUUAUCUUAGGGUUGACUCUUGAUGUUGUACAUUCCAUGGUUUUGGAUAAACAUAUGGCAACAUAUAUCCAUCAUUGAAGUGAAAGUCCCUCAUUUGUGUCCAACUCUUUGUGACCUCACGGACUGUAGCCCACAUGCUCUAAUAUCAUAAAAAGUAUCUUUACUGCCUUGAAAAUCCUAUAUGCUCUGUGUAUUCAUCUCUUCCCCUUCCCAAUCCCUGGAACCACUGAUCUGUUUAUGGUCUCCGUAGUUUCGCCUUCUUCAGAAUGUCACCAAGUUGGAAUCAGAUGUUAUAUAACCUUUUAAUUUUGGCUUCUGUCACAUAAAGAAAUGCAUUUAAGUUUCCUCCAUGCCAUUGUAUGUCUUGGUAGAUUAUUUCUUUUUAGUUCUGUGUAAUGUUCCAUUGUCUGCAUGUUCCACAGCUUACUUAUCCAUUCAAUUACUGGGACAUACCUUGGUUGCUUCCAAAUUUUGCCACUUGUGAAGAACUCUGCUGUAAAUAUCCAUAUGUAGAUUUUUAUGUGUAUAUAUGUCUUUGUUUCCUUUGUGUAAAUUCCAAGGAGUAGAAUUGCUGGGUCUUAUGAUAAAAUGUGUUUAGCUUUGUGAGAAACAGUCAAACUGUCUUUCAAAGUAGCUGUACCAUUUUGCGCUCUCAUCAGCAAUGAGUAAGAGAGUUCCUUUUGCUCCACAUCCUCACCAGCAUUUGGUUUCAUCAGUGGCUGAACUUUGGCCCUUGUUAUAGGUAAUGGUAUUUUAUUGUUUGAAUUUGCAUUUCCCUGAUGAAGAAACUUUUUAAAAUGCAACAGCUUAUGAGAAAAUGAAUGAAUCUGUGAAACAAACAAACAAAACAAAACAAAACAAAACGAAAAAACAGUAAUACAAUUUAUAUGAAUUGUGAUAAGGCCUGACAAAAAGCAACACAGGUAAUGAUGAUUCAUAAAAAAUUUAAGUGAAUUGAGGAUUUUUGGUUUCAUGUUUCUUAUUUAUAAAUUCAUGUGCUUGUGAUUAAUUGAUCACAUAUUUCUACCCUGAAUAUUUUUUUCUUUCUUCAAGUCAAAUAAAAAACUCAUUGAACAUUGUCCACAAUCACUUACAUCUUGAUUGUUCUCCUGUACAUUGUAUUCCUCAUACUUAGUGACAGUCAGGAUGGGGGUAUUCUUUUUCCCUUUUAUGUCUGUAUUUGUUUUUAGAGCAUAGUCUCUAAAUAGAGUCAACUUGGAUAAGGAGACAAUUUUAAUUACGGUAGAUAUUCCUAGGGAAAAAAAGAGAAACUUACCAAUUAUAGGAAGGAGUCACUAAACUCUGAGGUUAUUCAAAAUAACCAGAUAGAAAAAUGUCAAGAAAGUCAAGCCCAUUGAACAAGAUGAGGAUUAGCCAGAAUUUCUAAGUGAUUAUUGGUUUUCAUAAAAUUAGUCCUGCAUCUCCUGAGAAAUAAAACUCUGGCCAGUUCUACUCUGUGUUAAGAAAGUUGAUAAUUGGUCCCUACUGAUUUGAGGCCGUAUAAGGCUAUAUUAACUCUCAGCAUCAAUCAUCAUUGAGUCAAACUGUUUAAUUUUUUUUGUGAAGUACAUUUGAAUUAUAUUGCUUCUGUCUUUAUAUAGGGGAUGUGUUAUCACUUAUGGAGCAGUAGUUUAUGUUGUUCUAGCAAAGAAUUGUUUUGUUGUAAAAUAUUCUUUACUCAUGAUCUUCAGCAAUAUUUUAUAUUUUUU
ensembl:lncRNA